UACGAAGGGGGCUAGCGUUGCUCGGAAUUACUGGGCGUAAAGGGCGCGUAGGCGGAUAGUUUAGUCAGAGGUAAAAGCCCAGGGCUCAACCUUGGAACUGCCUUUGAUACUGGCUAUCUUGAGUCCGGGAGAGGUGAGUGGAACUGCGAGUGUAGAGGUGAAAUUCGUAGAUAUUCGCAAGAACACCAGUGGCGAAGGCGGCUCACUGGCCCAUUACUGACGCUGAGGCACGAAAGCGUGGGGAGCAAACAGG
rnacentral:rRNA from 1 species